AUUGAACGCUGGCGGCAUGCCUUACACAUGCAAGUCGAACGGCAGCACGGGGGCAACCCUGGUGGCGAGUGGCGAACGGGUGAGUAAUGCAUCGGAACGUGCCCAGUAGUGGGGGAUAACCAGUCGAAAGACUGGCUAAUACCGCAUACGACCCAAGGGUGAAAGCGGGGGACCGUAAGGCCUCGCGCUAUUGGAGCGGCCGAUGUCUGAUUAGCUAGUUGGCGGGGUACGAGCCCACCAAGGCGACGAUCAGUAGCUGGUCUGAGAGGACGACCAGCCACACUGGGACUGAGACACGGCCCAGACUCCUACGGGAGGCAGCAGUGGGGAAUUUUGGACAAUGGGCGCAAGCCUGAUCCAGCCAUGCCGCGUGCGGGAAGAAGGCCUUCGGGUUGUAAACCGCUUUUGGCAGGAACGAAACGGCGCAGGCCAAUACCUUGCGCUAAUGACGGUACCUGCAGAAUAAGCACCGGCUAACUACGUGCCAGCAGCCGCCGUAAUAC
rnacentral:rRNA from 1 species